GACGAACGCUGGCGGCGUGCUUAACACAUGCAAGUCGAACGGAGAGGACCUGCUCUUGCGGGGUGCUCGAGUGGCGAACGGGUGAGUAACACGUGAGUAACCUGUCCUUGACUUUGGGAUAACUUCAGGAAACUGGGGCUAAUACCGGAUAGGAGCUCCUGCUGCAUGGUGGGGGUUGGAAAGUUUCGGCGGUGGGGGAUGGACUCGCGGCUUAUCAGCUUGUUGGUGGGGUAGUGGCUUCCCAAGGUUUUGACGGGUAGCCGGCCUGAGAGGGUGACCGGCCACAUUGCGACUGAGAUACGCCCCAGACGCCUACGGGAGGCAGCAGUGGGGAAUAUUGCACAGUGGGCGGAAGCCUGAUGCGGCAACGCCGCGUGCGGGAUGACGGCCUUCGGGUUGUAAACCGCUUUCGCCUGUGACGAAGCGUGAGUGACGGUAAUGGGUAAGGAAGCACCGGCUAACUACGUG
rnacentral:rRNA from 1 species